ACCGCAAAUAUGCUUAACCAACAGGUAUGACGUAAAUGUUAGUAUUAUUCAUAACAUGGACUAAAAGUGCAUUGCAGAUAAUGCAAUGAACUGAAUCGUCCAAAUAAGCUUAUACGCUACAGCGUAGGUUGCGAUGUAUUAUUCGAUCCCAUUUCUACUCACUAAAAACCCAGAAUAGUUACCAAUUAGGCCAGUGUCCUGAAUAGGUAGUUCCUUUGUAUUAACCAGUAUUAGCCCCUUACCACACACACAACAUUGGACCACGUUUCAUCUGUGGAAUUUUUAAAUAAUUAGGCUUUUUUGGAAGUUUAAUGUGCAUGUAACUGUCUUCACAGAACCUCAAUCUGACCUUAUUCUUUGGAUUAGCAUUGGUGUUACGUUGGCGUUACUCAUCAUUGGGGCCGCAGUUGCUGUAUUCCUGUGUAAGAACAAAGGGAAAUGCAUUUCAGUCCUAUGCAGCUUUGGCAGUAAAGACACUGUGACCACUGAUAGAAGCUCCACCACUACGGACACAGAGACGGAGAAACAGAAUCUGACAAAUGGAGAGCCCAAUGGGACCUGCAUUCCUGAGGCAGAUAACUGAUGUAACCAAAUGGUACCGAUUUCCUUACACGUCACUGAAGGCAUCUAUAGAGUCCCACCUUUGUCAUGGUUUAAACACUAUAGGACAGUAACCCACCAACAUUUUUACCACAGAGGGUGGUUAGGGUUAGGGUGUACCUUUUAUGGUGCACAAAUGGACCAUGGGGAGUACAUUAAUGUUGUUUGUACCUUAGAGAACAAAACUGUAUUAUGGCUGUACGCUUUUUUUCUGAUAGUGUCCGCCUUUGCCAGGGUAUUUAAUGAUCCCCAUCUUAACUGUUGUUGCAGGCUGUGACAAAGAGUAAUGUGACAUGAUUUCUUGCUGGGGUGACUUCCUGUUAUGUAAGAUAUUAGUGUCACUCUAACUGGAGGUAUUAGGGUGUAGCGCCACCUAUCUUUUAAGAAGGGAGAAUAGCUGGAAAAAUAAGGCCAGAAAUAAUAAAUGCCCAGAAAAUGUAAAA